UUUUAUUCUGUCUCCCACCGCAACGAACAACUGUGUUGAUUUAUGGAACAGCUUUGUUCUAUCUAUGUAGAAGGCCAGCACCCUCCUGAUGGCCAGAGUGUGUAGCUUGUGCUCCUAAUCUGAUGCAUGAGGGUUUGGAAAGAAGAUGGAUAGGAAUGCACCAGAUCAAGGCUCCUCUGCACUUGCUCCUGAGACUUGCCCUUGAGGAGCCAAUUGGCAAGAUACGGGAAGACCUGGACCCCUCAACAUCUCAGGCACUUGACGAGGCUGACAAGGCCUUGGUGAUGGAGGCGGCCUGAAGUGCUUCAGUGCAGACAGUGGCGUAUGAUGCCCAGCGAGUGAAGGGUGGCCCAAGUGUCCUUUAACCCAUGCAGCCUCUCAUCAGUCUGCUCCAAAAAGAGAGCAUUCCCAUCCAAUGGGAGUUCCUGGAUAGUUCCUGCAUCUCUUGGGACAGGCCAGGAGCUGUGCCUCAUGACCACUACCGACGCAAUGACCCUAGCCGCUGAGUCCACCACAUCCCAUGUCAUCUGGAGAGAGCACCUAGUCACUGUGGUGACCUCCUCCAACAGGGUGCCAAA